rnacentral:misc_RNA from 1 species
AAGUCGUAACAAGGUUUCCGUAGGUGAACCUGCGGAAGGAUCAUUAAAGAGUUAGGGUCUCUCAGGCCCGACCUCCCAACCCUUUGUUUACUGAACCAUUGUUGCUUCGGUGGGUCCGUCUCACGACCGCCGGGGGAGAAAUCCCCCCCCCCUGGCCCGCACCCGCCGAUAGCCCAACUCUUAAAAUCCUUUAUGAAUCGUGUCUUAUGUCUAAAUCAUGAUAACAAAUCAAAUUAAAACUUUCAACAACGGAUCUCUUGGUUCUG